rnacentral:rRNA from 1 species
AACGAACGCUGGCGGCAUGCCUAACACAUGCAAGUCGAACGAGACCUUCGGGUCUAGUGGCGCACGGGUGCGUAACGCGUGGGAACCUGCCCUUAGGUUCGGAAUAACUCCCCGAAAGGGGUGCUAAUACCGGAUAAUGUCUUCGGACCAAAGAUUUAUCGCCUUUGGAUGGGCCCGCGUUGGAUUAGCUAGUUGGUAGGGUAAAAGCCUACCAAGGCGACGAUCCAUAGCUGGUCUGAGAGGAUGAUCAGCCACACUGGGACUGAGACACGGCCCAGACUCCUGCGGGAGGAAGCAGGGGGAAAUGUCGCACCAGGUGCGAGAGCCUGCGCCAGCAUGGCCGCGGGAGGAAUUGGUGUAUGAGUUUUGUAAACCUCUUUGACCCGAGUUGAUAAUGACUGUACCGGGAAAAUAAGCUCCUGCUACCUCCUUCCCAGCAGCCGCGGUAAUAUCGAAGCGCACACUUCUGAAA